AGCCAGGACCAUAUAGUGGUAUUCUGUAUUAAAAACAAAAAUGAACAAACAAACAUACAAAAAAACCCAAAGGCAGGCAGGUUAAGUUCCUCUGACCUCUUUCUGUCUAGGCAACUGCUGCUGACAGGUACUCUCUCAGUUAACUCUUCCUGGUAAUGUUCUCACAGACCUGCUUGGCAGUCUGGCUCUUAGUGGACUCUAGAUCCAAUCAAGUUGAUAACCGUGAUUAGUAUCACACAGUGAGAGCUGAAACUGUAUCAUCUCACAAUCCAUCUGCGGACUCUGUGACCUCAACACCCCCACCUGUGAGUGUUUGGAGAUGGGAGUCUUUAAAAUAAGGUUACAGGUGGAUCCUAAUCCAGGCUGGCCAGAGGCACCAUGAGGGGGGCUGCUUGAGUUUGAAUGGGAACCUGAAUUUUCCCCAGAGGCACGCUGUUGAAGGUUCCCCGCCCUUUGGUGUCUUUCAGAGUUGGUGGACCUUUAAGAGGUGGGGCCUAGGAAGAGCCCUGUUGAAAGGAAGUGGAACCUGCCCCUUCUUUCUUCCUUUCUUUGGGCCCUGGGAUAAAGGGGAUCCCAGACCCACCCUUCCACCUUGCUGUGCUCAGGGGACCCUCCACCCCCGAGUCAUGGGCUGCCGAGCACAGCCCGACACCUCUCACACUGAGCCAUAGUGACCUUUUCCUCCUCGUAUAUCGACUUAUUGCAGAGAUUUGUCACAGGAAUAGAAGUCGGGCUGACAAAGGAAGGUCCGACACCUGGGAAAACACCAUCAGAGCACAUGCACAGAGGACAGAUCAUGUGACCAGGGAUAGGAUACCAUGGCAACCAGACCUGAACAGCAACAGGUGGCAGGCACCCUGGAUGGCAUGGAGCACCAAGGAUGGAGUGGAAUGUGUACUCUCUGGAGUGCCCCAGAGUCAUUGCCAUGCUUCAGCUGUCAGGCCAGACCACCAUCUUCACCAGAAUCCCGAGCUAACCGAACUUUCCCAAGCUAUGGAAUUGUGUUGUCGCCAGAAAACAAGCCCACAGAGGUGUGGCGUUGCAUGCUCAGGAACAGAUGGCCACACUCAGCAGUCUCAGGAGGGGCCAGUCCUGCUGGUACCCAGCGAUGCCCAGGACACAGAGUGGUUCUGCAAGGUCUGCUAAGUCUGGAGCUAAGAACCGCAGCUGGCUACAUCCUACCACCGAUCCAUGCUACGCCUCCGCCCUCACCAUGCGUCUCAUGUCUCACUCCUCACACUUCCCAGGAUCUGCGGUCAGAGGAGGCAAAGGCCCAAGAGCGCUUCAUAGGCCAGCUUGGUGUCAGACCACACAAAGAUGGAGGGCACUGUACCUCAGCCCCACCACACAGUGCUUACCACCCAGGGACCAUGGAAGACCUCAUCAUUAACAGAGCAGCCUGAAGCACACAGUCAUCCACUGUAUGUCCAGGGACCACUCUGGGAAAAUUCACUCCCUGGGCACCUGCCUCACCCUGGAAGUGCUCCCUUGGCCUCUGCUCUGGAACUCUGACACCUUCCUCUACAAGGCCUUCCCCAGAGCUGGUCUGACACCAGGCCCUAAACUUCCAGAAUGCUGAGAGCUAAAUGAACCUCUUCUUUCCAUACAUUAACCAGUCUCAAUUAUGCCAUUAUAGUCAAGGAAAAUGGA